rnacentral:rRNA from 1 species
UACGAAGGGGGCUAGCGUUGUUCGGAAUUACUGGGCGUAAAGCGCGCGUAGGCGGUGAUCUUUGUCAGAGGUGAAAGCCUGGGGCUCAACUCCAGAAUUGCCUUUGAAACGGGAUUGCUUGAGUCCGAGAGAGGAUGGCGGAAUUCCUAGUGUAGAGGUGAAAUUCGUAGAUAUUGGGAAGAACACCGGUGGCGAAGGCGGCUCACUGGCUCAUUUCUGACGCUCAGGCGCGACAGCGUGGGGAUCAAACAGG